CCUACGGGAGGCAGCAGUGGGGAAUCUUGCACAAUGGAGGAAACUCUGAUGCAGCGAUGCCGCGUGAGUGAAGAAGGCCUUUGGGUUGUAAAGCUCUUUUGUAGGGGAAGAUAAUGACUGUACCCUAAGAAUAAGGUCCGGCUAACUUCGUGCCAGCAGCCGCGGUAAUACGAAGGGACCUAGCGUAGUUCGGAAUUACUGGGCGUAAAGCGCGCGUAGGCCGUUGAGUUAGUUAAUUGUGAAAUCCCAAAGCUUAACUUUGGAACUGCAAUUAAAACUGCUCGACUAGAGUUUGAUAGAGGAAAGCGGAAUACAUAGUGUAGAGGUGAAAUUCGUAGAUAUUAUGUAGAACACCAGUUGCGAAGGCGGCUUUCUGGAUCAACAAUGACGCUGAGGCGCGAAAGUAUGGGUAGCAAAGAGGAUUAGAUACCCUCGUAGUCCAUACCAUAAACGAUGAUUGCUAGAUGUUGGAAAUUUAUUUUACAGUAUCGCAGCUAACGCAUUAAGCAAUCCGCCUGGGGAGUACGACCGCAAGGUUAAAACUCAAAGGAAUUGACGG
rnacentral:rRNA from 1 species